UACGAAGGGGGCUAGCGUUGCUCGGAAUGACUGGGCGUAAAGGGCGCGUAGGCGGCAUGGCAAGUCAGGCGUGAAAUUCCUGGGCUCAACCUGGGGCUGCGCUUGAGACUGUUGUGCUAGAGGCCAGGAGAGGCUCGUGGAAUUCCCAGUGUAGAGGUGAAAUUCGUAGAUAUUGGGAAGAACACCGGUGGCGAAGGCGGCGAGCUGGUCUGGUACUGACGCUGGAGGCGCGACAGCGUGGGGAGCAAACAGGAUUAGAAACCCGUAGUAAG
rnacentral:rRNA from 1 species